rnacentral:rRNA from 1 species
CAGCAGCCGCGGGAAUACGUAGGUCCCGAGCGUUGUCCGGAUUUAUUGGGCGUAAAGCGAGCGCAGGCGGUUAGAUAAGUCUGAAGUUAAAGGCUGUGGCUUAACCAUAGUACGCUUUGGAAACUGUUUAACUUGAGUGCAGAAGGGGAGAGUGGAAUUCCAUGUGUAGCGGUGAAAUGCGUAGAUAUAUGGAGGAACACCGGUGGCGAAAGCGGCUCUCUGGUCUGUAACUGACGCUGAGGCUCGAAAGCGUGGAGAGCGAACAGGAUUAGAUACCCCUGUAGUCCCUGUCUCUUAUACA